rnacentral:rRNA from 1 species
UACAGAGGGUGCAAGCGUUGUCCGGAAUCACUGGGCGUAAAGGGCGCGUAGGCGGCCCGAUAAGUAGGGGGUGAAAUCUUGCGGCUCAACCGCAAGGCUGCCUUCUAGACUGUCGGGCUUGAGCACAGUAGAGGCAGGUGGAAUUCCCGGUGUAGCGGUGGAAUGCGUAGAGAUCGGGAAGAACAUCGGUGGCGAAGGCGGCCUGCUGGGCUGUUGCUGACGCUGAGGCGCGACAGCGUGGGGAGCGAACAGG